UUCAUUGAAGAUUAUUCCCCAUUUUCUCUUCUAAGAUUUUCUGUGGGGUUUUAUUUAUGUUGACAUCUUUGACACUUUUGGACUUAAAUGUUUUUCAAGGGGAUAGACAGAGAUCUAUCUGCAGUCUUCUGCAUGCCUAUAUACAGUUAUGCCAGUACCGUUUGUUGAAGAUGCUUUCUUUUUCCAUCUUAUAAUUUUAGAUUCUUUGUCAAAAAUCAAGUGAUUAUGCAUAUGUUUGUUAAAAUUUGAGUUUUCUAUUCCAUUCCAUUGGUCUACCUGUCUAUUUUUGUGCCAAUACCAAGCUGUUUUCAGGACUAUAACUCUGUAGUAGAGCUUGAAGUUAGGGAUGAUGAUUCCUCAUGAAAUUCCUUUAUUGUAUACGGUAGUUUAGGCUACCCUGGAUCUAUUUAUCCCAUUUAAACUCCACUAGCAUUAUAGGUCACAUAGAGUGGAAUUCCUUUUGAAGUCACGGAUGUAGCCACCAAAUAUCAUUUGUCCUGCUUUUUCAUUGAAAAGACCCCGGCUGUUUGAAUGGCAUCUUGUAAUAUCUGUUUUAACCAUCUCAAUCAUAACCUUUCAGUUCCAAGGUAAACAUGCUAUCUUAAAUGUUAAUGCCUCCAAUUAUUUCCUAUCUCUUCUUUAUUAAUUCUCAGUUACCAGACUCUCAUUCCUACUCGUCUGAUCCUGUUCCUGAAUUCAGAGGAAUACAAGGGGACCCAUUUGGUAUGAAUAUUCCAAAGAAACAGAGAGAAAAUUUUAAUAGUCAAAAUUUCUGAUUUAUUUUUCUGUGAACUGUCACAUUGUUCUCACAGAGUUUUCACGAUUUACUUUCUUAGCUGUGAAAUGGGUGACUCUAAGUAUACUAUUUACAAAAAAGCACUCAAAAGCCAUACUUAAAGCUCGAGGUAACUGUUUACUGUACUUCUUUAGAAAAAAAUGGAAUACGAUGUGAACCUCAGAUGGCUCAUGAUCAGACAAGUUAGCAAGAAUAAAUGCUACAAAAAGUUUUUAUGCAACUAUUAGUGUCAUCAUGAAUGUCCAUUAUGCAGGCCAAAGACUACAGGGGCUUCAUUAGAUUACUUUUCUGUGUCUCCUAAGGCAGAUGGAAACUCACAGUGUUCCUGUGCACUAAUGGACAUGUCAGUAUGGCAAAAGCAGAUGCCAUUUAAUUUCAUUUGGAUUAGUGAACUUGUCCUGCCAUCCAGAUCUCAGGGAACAUGAGACAAUUCCUGAGAAUGGAGCUGGCCAGGCAUUCUCCUUUUUGCCUCAGAUCCACAGGCCCAUAAUCAUAUGGAGCAAAAUUUUAAUUAUAUCGGAAUUAUGGAAUUUCAAUUAUAUGCAUAACAUCACAAGGUGCAAAAAGGCUGCCUCAUCUCAAUUGAAAUAUGCCAAGAGAAUGGGAGUAUGGAACCUAAGCAGGCAAUAAUUUUGCAAUUAAGAACGCUGAGGGUACUCAUCCAACUCUGGUGAUUAUUAAAUAAUGUCAGAAUGAAAUGGAAAAGAGCUACGCAAAGAAGUGGAGCUGAAUGGUCUUGGACAUUGUAAGACGCAGUGCCUGAUCAGAAGCUAAAAUGUUUUCACCUGACCUAUCAUAUGCCUUCCCAAUGGUCUGUCAGCUAAUGCUAUGAAUGCAGGCAGUGAGGAUGAUGGUGAAACGGGUGAAGGGUUAAACUUGUCUAGGGGUGGAAAACAGGUAAAAACAAUUAAAUAUUUUCAUUAUCUCCCCAUUGCAUUAAUUAGCAAUGGCCCGAAAUUAUCAUGCUUGGGUGUUUAGAUGUACAGAAGCUGUGCUUUGCAUUCUGCUGACACUGAUUUGAAACUUUUGGCUCUUCAAAAUUUUCCUUGAUUAAGAAAACUGAUUCUGCUUGAUCCCUUGCAGGAGCCUAAUGCAGAUGGCCAUUUGUCCGAAGCACCCUGAGACCUACCUUCUAGAUGGUCUUUGUCUUCCUGUUAUCCUGGAUGCACACUUGGUAGCCCAGGAAUUUCACCUUCAGUGAUCCAGGAUUCAGUCUUCUAACCCACUCAUUUCACCUUCAGGUAAGUGGAAAGUUCAUGUUAAGUGCCUAGGUCUAUUUUGGAUAUCCACCUUCAAACAUUAGAAAGCAUGACCUUCUAGGAAUGCAGUGACAUAUAAGGCAUACAUCUUGGUCUCUCCCUUAAUUUGGGGAAUCCAAUAGGACUUACACCAUGAGAAAAGGUUGGUAAUUCAAACUGCCUUAUCUUGUAGAAUUCCAAGUAAUAAGUACUGGGAAACAGAGCAGUGACUGUUCGUGGAGGUGGGACAGAAGAAUUGGGUCGGGAAUUUAAGGAUUUUUCCUUGCAUAGCUCAUUGAUAGUUGAAUGUGAUCAUCAGGUCCUUGCCAUGGAGUAUCUAUCUACCUACAAUACUGAUUGUCACUGCCAGGGCAAGAGCUUCAUAUUCUCCCUGGGUCAGGAGGGAGACAUGUUCCAAACUUGUAUAGACAAUGCUCACGAAUAUUCACUAUGCAAGACCUAAACAGCAGGCAGAUCAAUAUGUUACUUUCUGGGGUUCAUGAGGCAGACAGACACCAACAGUAAUCAAGUGCACAAAUGUACAUAUCAGUUAUACAAACACAGAUAAUGUUUACUUUCUGAGCAUUAGUGAUCUUGUCCUUCCAUGCAGGCUUCAAACUAAUUGAGGUAAUUCAAAAGGGUGCAUCGGGCCAGGAAUUACCCUCUUUGCCUAGAUGAACAGGAUCAUCAAUAUGUAGAGACAAACUCACGACACAGCAGUAGCACAGUAUUUCAAACACAUGAAUGACAUCCCAAGUUGCAAUGGCUUCCUUUGCCUAUGUGAUAAGAAAUGGACGAAGUGUACAGUUUUAGGUAUCGUAAGCACACAGUGAAUGGGUUAUAAAGAACCUCGAGGGUAUGUAUCUUACAAUGGUGCAUGGGCAGUGAAGACAGACUGAAAUUGGGAUAGAGCUGUGCAAAGAACUGGAGAUGAAUGGUCUUAUACCUUGUACGACACAGUGCCUGAUCAGAAGCAAAAAUAUUUUUAGCAGACAAAUAAUAUGCCUACCCAAUGAUAUGUCAUCUAAUGCUAUGUAUGCAGGCAGUGAGAAUGAGGAUAAAACAUUUGAAAUGUUGAAUGUUUCUACCAGUAACAAACAGGUAACAAGCAUUAAAUUUUUACAUUAUCUCUUCCACGACUUGUAUUAACAAUUGCCCCCAUCUAUCUUGUAGAGAGUUUGGGUGUUCCGAAGCUUGGCAUUUCAAUUCCUCUGACACUGACAUGACAUUUUGGGGACACCAAAUUUUCCUUGACUAAGUGAACUGAUUCAGCAUGAUCCCUUGCAAGAGAUUAUUCCUGGCUGAUAUUUGUCAGAAGCUCGCUGAGACAUAUCUUCUAGAUGUUCUUUGUCAUGCUGGCAAGUAGCACAGUUUGUUUCCCACUAUCAGGUAUAGCUAUGCAUUCUGAGGAUGGGGAUCUAUGAUGACAAACCAAUGUUAUGAAGAGAGGUGAUUGUAGGAGUGAACCCCACAAAGCUAUCCGCCC